rnacentral:sRNA from 1 species
GCUCCGCAGCCGUCUGUGCCACCCAGAGCCGGCGGGCCGCUAGGUCCCCGGAGACCCUGCUAUGGUACGCGCGGGCGCCGUGGGGGCACAUCUCCCCGCGUCCGGCUUGGAUAUCUUCGGGGACCUGAAGAAGAUGAACAAGCGCCAGUUGAGGAAAAUGAUGUUGCCCAGAGCCACGUGAUCCAGGUCCUCACUCCAAACUCAAUUCAAAAGUAUGUUCUGGAAAGCUGGUAGGGAGCUAAGGUGGGAUCUAACCUGUCUAACAUCACUGCCUCCAAAACACUAAAACUAUAUUAAUAGCAAGGAGAGUUUAGAAGUUAUCAGUUACUCAAGGAUAUGCCCAGGAAAGGAAACAAGAUCAGCCAAAUACUAGAAGCUGGAAAACAGAUGGAAGAAUGGGAACUGGCACAGCCAGAGAAAGCCAGGAUGUGAGCGGCACUGGGGGAGGCUGUGGCUCUUCAGGUUUGUGAGGCAGAGAGAGUCCUCAGAGACCCAGGAAUUGGUGUCCCCAGAACUGAAGGUGAAGGGGAGGUAGGGCUGAAGUAAAUUUGAUUGGGUAGAAAAGCAGAGAAGUAGUGAGACCC